rnacentral:lncRNA from 1 species
CGUAACUAUAAACAAGAGUCUAAACAUCCUUAACGAAUAAAAACGUUCAAAUAUACAAAUCAGAAACCGAAUUAAAUUAAAAUCUUCAGGCUUGAAUUACAAGUUCAUCCUUUUCAUUUCAGCUUCACAAUUAUUGAAGUCAAGCUGUGUAUCUGGAAUUGGAACAAAAAUAAAGUAGAAGAAAGAUCAGCAGCAGCAGUAAUACGAGCAGCAAUACAAUAGCAGUUCACAGCCGCAAUUUAAAGUUCCAAACAGCCACAAACAGACUCAACCGAGCUUGAGUUAAGCCAAGAUUCUACUACAAAAUUGAUCUUUUAAACUCUCAGAAACUGACUUUAAGCUUUCAAAAUUAGUUCCAAAACUGACUGCCUUUCAAAAGAACUCUCAAAAACUCUCUGAACUCCUCAGAAUAUUGUUCAAAGACUGACCAUACUCUCCCGUCUUUAAACUUUAGAAACUGAUUUUCAAGACCCUCUCUAACUGAUUAAAGACUCUCAAAAGUGAUCUCUGAAACUUGAAGCAUAGAAUUUUAAAACUGUUUAUGAUUCUCAGGGAGCUGGACUACUAGCUGAGAUUUUGACAAGUUAAUUAAGGUAAUGAAAACAGUAAAAGCUCUCUCAACUCUCUUCCUUAAGGUCUGAACCCCCCCUAUUCUAAGAUCUGCCCUGUAUUUUAUACCCUAAGACAUACCCCUUUUCCAGCCUGUUUUAACAUUUAGAUCAUUAAGAAAUGUAUUUCUUCCAUCAUAUUCCCUGACAGCCACUACUGAGUGUCUAAUUUUAUUAUUUAAUUCAAAGGUGUAUGGGCAAUGCUAUAUUUUAAUCAAUUCCUUUUAAGCCUCCACAUACCAUUAUAUUUUGUUCCCCACUAACACAUUAGAUUAAUGGUUAAUCAAGUACUUUACUGACAGUCCACUAGCAAAACCAUUUGCCAAACUUUUAAACCCCCAAAAUACCCCUGAAGACCUUGUGACUGCAGCUAUAACCAAUUCUCCUAAGUUCUGAAUGCAACCAUAUAACUCACUACUAUCUAAUGAACAUUAUCAUACCAACACCGAAUUCAAACCAAUGUCAGAUUCACUUCAGACCCCAAACAGUAGGAUUCAAUUCAUCAAACUCAACAACAGCUUAAGCUUGAACCAGGUUGAAUCAAAUAGCAACAAAAUAAAGGCCAAGGAUUUUAUUGAUUCAGAACACCCUUACAGGGAAUGACACAGUAGGUUCAGGUGACAACCAAAACAACAGUUCAUGUAUUUUCAAAGCAUUUCAAAAUAAUGUGACGACUGACUAUGCGAUACAAACAUUGUGAUGAACUAAUCCUUAAUUUAUCGAUUGCAAAAUCGGAAAAUGUUCUAACAAAUCGACAAACUGACUAGCUUCAACAAUUUACUAAAAUUAACGAGUCAACACCAAUUACCAAACCAAGACAAAUUGACGUAACAAGAAAUUAAUCCGAAAAGACACAUAUCGAAUGAAGCCUAAAAAACGAGAUGAAAUAGAGAAUAGAAAUACCUAAGAUGAACGACCAACUCGGCUUGAACAAAAUUCGGCAUCUUUCGAUUUUGGUCGGAAUAGGUCUUAAUCACGAGUUCUCAAACGAGAACACACGAAUAAAACCUAUUUUGGCCUCAAAUCUUCAAUACAGGCUCUUGAUUUGAAAACUCAGCGCUCGUUCAUUCGAAUUGAGAUUCGACAAACUCCGGUUUGAUUCGAUGGAAACUAGGGGUGGUUUAGGGACGAGGGAAGUUAGGUGGACGUUGGGUGUUAGCUUGGAAUCGAUUGGAUUAGUUAGGGUUUUUUGGUCGAUCUUUGAUUGAAGAUUCGAAGGCCCUGAUCAGAAUUCGAGGGAUAAGGGUUAGGGAUUUGGAAUAGGGAGGUCGAGGGGAAUCAAUGGUGUAAAGAUGGGGUCGUUUGGACCACCGGAACCGCCGUGAGGCGAUUUCCGGUGGGCGGAGGGCAGUGGUUGAAGGCGGAGGGUGUUGGGCCUGUCUCUAGGUUAGAGACGAAGGCGAAGGGGAGGGGGGAGUAUGGCUUAGGGGGUGUGGGGUGAGGUUUUAGGAAUAUAUAGUGGGGGAUUUGAUCUUGGCCGUUGGAUCAUUCAC